rnacentral:rRNA from 1 species
UCGCCUGUUUAAUCAAAAACAUCUUUUCUUGUUAGUUUUUGAAGUAUGGCCUGCCCGCUGACAUUGAGUUGAAGGGCCGCGGUAUUUUGACCGUGCAAAGGUAGCAUAAUCAUUAGUUCUUUAAUUGUGAUCUGGAAUGAAUGGCUUGACGAGGCACGAGCUGUCUUAGUGUUGAAUAUUUUAUUGAAUUUGGUCUUUGAGUUAAAAUUCUUAAAUGUUUUUGUGGGACGAGAAGACCCUAUAGAGUUUGACAUUUGGUUUAUUUAUUUGUUGGUUGUUUGUUUAUUUUGUUGGUGAAUGGGCUUUUUGUUUUGUUGGGGUGAUGAGAGGAAUGUAUUUAACUCUUCUUUGUUUUGGUUAUAUUUAUUUAUAGUUGUUUGAUCCAUUUAUUUUGAUUAUAAGACUAAAUUACCUUAGGGAAUAACAGCGUAAA